AAAAUCAUUAGACAAAACUCUUGAAGCUCUGAAGCUCUGAAACUCCGAAGCUCUCAAGCAUCCAGGUUCCCGAAGAAUCAAGAAAGCUCUCUUCGUUCUUCAUUCUUCGUUCAUCAUUCAUCCUAAGAUCAAGCCCAAACGGCCUUUUGGAUCAACAAUCAUCCACCAAUUCAAGAUCAAGCCUCGAUGGCCCUUGAAGAAAGUGUUCUUCGUUCUUCGUUCUUCGUUCUUCCAAGAUCAAGCCCCGACGGCCCUUGGAUCAACAAUCCACCAAUUCAAGAUCAAGCCCCGACGGCCCUUGAAGAAAGUGUUCUUCGUUCUUCGUUCAUCGUUCUUCUAAGAUCAAGCCCCAACGGCCCUUUGGAUCAACAACAUCACCAAAUCCACACAAUUGUUCAUCCUAAGAUCAAGCCCCAACGACCCUUUGGAUCAACAACAUCAACAAAUCCACACAUCCAACCGUUCUUCAAGAUCAAGCCCAAAGCCCUUGAAGAUCCGUUCAUCACUGUUCUUCAAGAUCAAGCCCAAAAGCCCUUGAAGAUCUGUUCAUCACCGUUAUUCAAGAUCAAGUCUCAACGACCCUUGAAGAACUCAUCCUCAAGAUCAAGCCCUAACGGCUCCUUGAAGAUUCGCUCAAAUCCACCUUCAAAGAUCAAGCCCACGACCCUUGAAGAAACUUCCAACAGUUCAUCCAAAAUCAAGCCUCAACGGCCCUUGGAUCAACGAAACAUCCACAAAUCAACACCUUAUGGAGAUCGAAUCAGAUGAUCAAAUUUGAGAGAGAUUGUAACCCAAAAUCAUCAAAAUACUAAUACUAUUUUGUGCACGUUGUUCUUGUCUCUUUUGUUUCGAGAAUUUUUCGUGUUCACAUCUUCACUUUGGUCUCUGAGAUUUGAAAUCAAUAGAAGUAGUCCCUGAGAUUGUCCAACAUCAAUCAUUUUGGUCAUUCGGUGAAAAAUUAUGUUAAAUAAGAAUCCAAAUAACAAAAUUACCCUCAAUAUAAUAAACAAUAGUCCAAAAUGAUUUGACAAAAAUUAAGGGUAUUUGUCACACCUCGGUCCUAAAAAUAUAUUUUUGGGAAUAAUCCCGUUAAUAGGCUGAAUUUGAGAAUCAUAAAUAAUUUACUUCCAUUUAUCACCUUUCAUUACUUAAAUAACUCAUUCACAUACAAAACUAUCAAUAUUAAAUAAAUAUCAAAACGUAUAGUUACAAUACCAAAUUGAUGUAAUAACAUUAAUUAUUAUACUUUAUAAAAAUUUCUUCAUUUCCAAUAUGAUUCAUAAACAUUAUUAUUUUAUCAACCAUACAAUUAUAAUCUCAAGAUAUUUCCAUUUUCGUUCAAUUGACCAAUGUUCUCAAAAGAAGAAUAAUUCUCAAUUGAAGGAAAAUUCUCGAUUAUUUAAGGCUGCAUCUAACACUGUUAGACUGCCUCCGUACCUUUGAACGGGAUCAAGCCUUUUGUAGUUCACCUUUCAAAAAUUCAACCAAAUCCCAAAUAUAUUCCAUUAAUCCAACAUAUACCACAAUCGUAUUAAUAUCCAAACCUCAGUAGUUAGUUCUCAGAAAUAUAAUUAAAAUAACGAAAUUUGGCAUAAAACACAAUGUCGGCUUUCUGGCUGUGCGCCGCUGUGGGUGGCGGUCGGCCACCCCAGCUCGUCGGAAAAUUCAACUAUUUCUAAAAAUUCCCAAAAAUUACAGAAAUGAAGAUCUCAAAGAGUAGAGCAAACUUUAUACAUGCGGCAACCAAUUUGGCCGGGAAAAGCUCUAAUUUAACUAAAACCCGAUGGAACCCUAGAAAUUGGUGGCCUCGAAUUCUCAACUACGGUGCUCCACCGCCCUUACCAUGGUUUGGGCUUUGUUUUAGGCCUCAAGGGGAGCCCAGCAAUGGUGGUAAUUGGAAGGAAACCUUUCACAAUUGUUUAAAAUCGAGCAAGGUUUCUGCGGCACCCGUGAGGGGUUUUCCCCAAUUCUAAGACCAAUU
rnacentral:lncRNA from 1 species